rnacentral:rRNA from 1 species
CCUACGGGAGGCAGCAGUGAGGAAUAUUGGUCAAUGGACGCAAGUCUGAACCAGCCAAGUAGCGUGCAGGAUGACGGCCCUCCGGGUUGUAAACUGCUUUUAGUUGGGAAUAAAAGGGGGCUCGUGAGCCCCGUAUUGUAUGUACCAUCAGAAAAAGGACCGGCUAAUUCCGUGCCAGCAGCCGCGGUAAUACGGAAGGUCCGGGCGUUAUCCGGAUUUUUUGGGUUUAAAGGGAGCGUAGGCCGGCUUUUAAGUCAGCUGUGAAAGUCCGCGGCUCAACCGUGGAAUUGCAGUUGAAACUGGAGGCCUUGAGUGCACACAGGGAUGCCGGAAAUCAUGGUGUAGCGGGGAAAUGCUUAGAUAUCAUGAAGAACUCCGAGCGCGAAGGCAAGUGUCCGGGGUGCAACUGACGCUGAGGCUCGAAAGUGCGGGUAUCAAACAGGAUUAGAUACCCUUGUAGUC